AUUGAACGCUGGCGGCAGGCCUAACACAUGCAAGUCGAGCGGCAGCGGGAAAGUAGCUUGCUACUUUUGCCGGCGAGCGGCGGACGGGUGAGUAAUGCCUGGGAAAUUGCCCAGUCGAGGGGGAUAACAGUUGGAAACGACUGCUAAUACCGCAUACGCCCUACGGGGGAAAGCAGGGGGCCUUCGGGCCUUGCGCGAUUGGAUAUGCCCAGGUGGGAUUAGCUAGUUGGUGAGGUAAUGGCUCACCAAGGCGACGAUCCCUAGCUGGUCUGAGAGGAUGAUCAGCCAAACUGGAACUGAGACACGGUCCAGACUCCUACGGGAGGCAGCAGUGGGGAAUAUUGCACAAUGGGGGAAACCCUGAUGCGGCCAUGCCGCGUGUGUGAAGAAGGCCUUCGGGUUGUAAAGCACUUUCAGCGAGGAGGAAAGGUUGAUGCCUAAUACGUAUCAACUGUGACGUUACUCGCAGAAGAAGCACCGGCUAACUCCGUGCCAGCCGCCGCAGUAAUAC
rnacentral:rRNA from 1 species